GUGCCGAGUAGUCAAAGGCACUUCCGCCCCAGGAUAGCGAGGCCAUCACUGUCCGGGAGGAAACACUGAAUCACCCCGCGCUAGUGCUUGGGGAUGUCCUCUGCCCCUGCAGUUUAUCCCGGAAACAGAGUUUAUCGUGCUAUCCCAGUGCAUCCUUUUCUUCACCACUCCUGAAUUCGGAAAGGGGAAGAAGAAGGGAUUUCUUGGCUUUUCAUAGCCCCAGUUCUGCCUUCUCAGGAUUCAGACCUUCACCAGAAGGAACAGGAGAAAAUGACCAAGUUUCAGGUAACUAAGGCAUUCCUUUCUGUCUCCUAAGAUGUGAUUUUAUUUCUCUCAGAUUAGGACAAUCUUUUUUCUCUUCCUUGGAAAGAUUAAUAGAAAACAACAGAUCUUGAGUGUGUGUUGUGUCCUGGACUGCGUGUGAUUUGUUUUAUUUUAUCUUUAUUAUUUCACAAAACAAUAUUUGGGAAAAAAAAAUAGAAAACUGAAAUAGAUAAAAGUAAUUUACACUACUACCCUGCUUACAAAUGAGCUCUUUUCACUUUCUCAUUUCCCUGUUUCACGUACGUUCGUAACUAUAUAUUUGGAAUAUUAGAAUUGACGGGAUAUACUUAUAUAUAUUAGAU
rnacentral:lncRNA from 1 species